CCUACGGGUGGCUGCAGUGGGGAAUAUUGCGCAAUGGGCGAAAGCCUGACGCAGCGACGCCGCGUGAGGGAUGAAGGUCUUCGGAUUGUAAACCUCUGUCAGCAGGGAAGAACGGUCACUGUGCUAAUCAGCAGUGAAUUGACGGUACCUGCAAAGGAAGCACCGGCUAACUCCGUGCGAGCAGCCGCGGUAGUACGGAGGGGGCGAGCGUUAAUCGGAAUUACUGGGCGUAAAGGGGGCGUAGGCGGUAUGUCAAGUCAGGGGUGAAAUCCCCGCGCUCAACGUGGGAACUGCCUUUGAAACUGGCAAACUGGAGUGUGUGAGAGGUUAGUGGAAUUCCAGGUGUAGGAGUGAAAUGCGUAGAUAUCUGGAAGAACAUCAGUGGCGAAGGCGACUAUCUGGCACAUAACUGACGCUGAGGAGCGAAAGCGUGGGUAGCAAACAGGAUUAGAUACCCCGGUAGUC
rnacentral:rRNA from 1 species